rnacentral:rRNA from 1 species
CAGUAGCCACGGGAAAACGAAGGGGGCUAGCGUUGCUCGGAAUGACUGGGCGUAAAGGGCGCGUAGGCGGAUUGCGCAGUCAGAUGUGAAAUUCCUGGGCUUAACCUGGGGGCUGCAUUUGAGACGCGUAGUCUAGAGUGUGAAAGAGGGUCGUGGAAUUCCCAGUGUAGAGGUGAAAUUCGUAGAUAUUGGGAAGAACACCGGUGGCGAAGGCGGCGACCUGGUUCAUAACUGACGCUGAGGCGCGAAAGCGUGGGGAGCAAACAGGAUUAGAUACCCCCGUAGUCCCUGUCUCUUAUAC